AGUCGAGGGGCAGCGCAGUGUAGCAAUACAUGGGCGGCGACCGGCAAACGGGUGCGGAACACGUACGCAACCUUCCUUCAAGCGGGGCAUAGCUUUCGGAAACGAAAAUUAAUACCCCAUAGUAAUGUCUGAGGGCAUCUGAGGACAUUUAAAGAUUUAUCACUUGAAGAUGGGCGUGCGCCUGAUUAGGUAGUUGGCGGGGUAACGGCCCACCAAGCCUACGAUCAGUAACUGGUGUGAGAGCACGACCAGUCACACGGGCACUGAGACACGGGCCCGACUCCUACGGGAGGCAGCAGUAAGGAAUAUUGGUCAAUGGACGCAAGUCUGAACCAGCCAUGCCGCGUGGAGGAUGAAGGUCCUCUGGAUUGUAAACUUCUUUUAUCGGAGAAGAAACCCCUGAAUUCUUUUAGGGUUGACGGUACCCGAUGAAUAAGCACCGGCUAACUCCGUGCCAGCAGCCGCGGUAAUACGGAGGGUGCAAGCGUUAUCCGGAUUCACUGGGUUUAAAGGGAGCGUAGGUGGGCUGGUAAGUCAGUGGUGAAAUCUCCGGGCUUAACUCGGAAACUGCCGUUGAUACUAUCAGUCUUGAAUGUUGUGGAGGUAAGCGGAAUAUGUCAUGUAGCGGUGAAAUGCUUAGAUAUGACAUAGAACACCGAUAGCGAAGGCAGCUUGCUACACAAUUAUUGACACUGAGGCUCGAAAGCGUGGGGAUCAAACAGGAUUAGAUACCCUGGUAGUCCACGCCCUAAACGAUGGAUACUCGACAUAUGCGAUACACUGUAUGUGUCUGAGCGAAAGCAUUAAGUAUCCCACCUGGGAAGUACGACCGCAAGGUUGAAACUCAAGAAUUGGCGG
rnacentral:rRNA from 1 species